AUUGAACGCUAGCGGGAUGCCUUACACAUGCAAGUCGAACGGAGUGGCGAACGGGUGAGUAAUGUAUCGGAACGUGCCCAGUAGCGGGGGAUAACUACGCGAAAGCGUAGCUAAUAACGCAUACUAUUGGAGCGGCCGAUAUCGGAGUAGCUAGUUGGUGGGGUAACGGAUCACCAAGGCGACGAUCCGUAGCUGGUUUGAGAGGACGACCAGCCAACCGGGGACUUAGACACGGCCCAGACUCCUACGGGAGGCCGCGGUGGGGAAUUUGGGACAAUGGGGGAAAGCCUGAUCCAGCCAUCCCGCGGGUGCGAUGAAGGCCUUCGGGUUGUAAAGCACUGUUGGCAGGAAAGCGGUACCUGCAGAAUAAGCACCGGCUAACUACGUGCCAGCAGCCGCGGUAAUUC
rnacentral:rRNA from 1 species